GCGAAAAGACUGCUCAUUAUUUUUUAAAAACUUAGUUAAACUUUUUAUAUAUUUCAAAGUCAAGAUCUAGAGAUGUAAUUAAAUUGAUUUAUUAUAUUUACAAAAUUUAUACAUUCAAGUGAUUUAUUUUCUUUAAAUAAACCUUUUCGUUUUUUGUUAAAAAAAAUAUUUAAAAACUAUACCAUACCCUUUUCAAUUGAUGUCUGACAGUUAAUACUGAAGACUUGAAAUAAAAUCUAAUUAGACACAUAUUAAAUUGUGAAUUAUUGUCAAAAAUUUUAAGAAAAUACUUUGUCAUUAAAUGCUGCCUUUUAAAUAUUGAAUACGCCAAAACUCAAGAAUGCUAGCUAGAUCUUGACUUUUAAAUUGGAAUACCAGAAAAAAAUGAUGCAUAUCCUUAAUUUUACUUUGAGAUCAAAGGACAGCCUCAGUGUAAUGAAUGAUUUAGAAAUGACCCAACAGUUGUUGAUCAAGGCUGGUAGAGAGUCUCUGUGUACAAGGGGUAUUAUAAACUAGUGCUUCACAUACUCUGUAAAGAUAGGGAGGUGCAUUUCAACAAGAUCUGACAUCGUUCUCUGUACAUAAAUCGGUCAGUGCUGGCUAGAUUGUGUUAGAGUUUCCUUUUUUAACUUUUUUUUGGUGGAGUUUGUCUAUUGUUUGUCUACAGAAAAUCUCACAGGAAUACAAAUAAAAAAUAUAUACAAAU
rnacentral:sRNA from 1 species